GACAAGAAGGGGAGGGAGAGGGCCCUUUAAGACCAGAGCGCGGCACCCCCUCCCCCCUUCCCCAGAGCAGCGAUGGGCUGAGAACAAUGGGGAACCGUUGGGGGGGCGGGCAGCGAGGGGGGCUAAAGGGGGUCGCCCGGUCGCGCUCCCUUGGGGCAGGCCUCAAGGGAGGGCUGGGGCUGGCGGCGCGAUUUUCCGAGACCCCUCGCCUGCGGCGCCCCCUCCUCAGCAACCUGAGCGCUCCCCCUCCCCGCUCCCGGCCGAGGGAUGCGGGAUGCGCCGGGAGGUGCCAGGAUGCGCGGCGCUGCAGGCGCGGCCCAGGGCCCCUCAGGGGUCGCGUCACCGAGCAGGCGAAGCCGGGAGCUGGAUCGCCUUUGCCUCCCGCCCUGCGGAAGGGCUCUGGCUUUCUGCAGAUUCUUCUCAAGGGAGGCUGUGACCCAUAAGAUUUGGAGCUGAUGCUGAACAACGUUAUAUUACAGAAGGGGGCCUGGGGACCUCAGAGUGGAGAAGAAGCUGGCUCAAGGUCAUCUGGAAAUUUAGCAGCAAGUUGGAAAGAAGAACUCAAGACUCCAGACUGUACAAUGCUAUUUAAUGUCUGACUGAAGGUCAUCUCCUCCGAGAAGCCUUCCCUGAACUCAUCCCAUCUUCUGCAUUACAUCGCAUAUACCUUGAAAGGACACCCUUUAUUGCAACAAGCCACUUCAGUGGAAUCUGUCCCUGGUAGAGUGAGACAUCCUUGAGAUAAGGGACUGUGUCUUAUUCACCCUCGUGUGGUAUGGCUGGUGUUUAUUACAUAAGCAUUGUCAUUUAUUGAGUGUCUAUUAUGUGCCAAGGUGCUUAUGUAAUGCCCACUCCCCUUCACAAUUGUCCUACAAGGUAGGUAAUAUUGUCUUCAUUUUACAGAUGGAAAAAAAAAAAUCUCCUGGAGCUCAAAGCGGCUUGUCCAAGUUCCCCCAGGGAGUGAGUGGCAGAGCUGGGAUUUGAAUCCAAAAUGCUUUUGCACCUCCUACACCACCAGUGCUGCCGUGGUGUUUGUUCAGCAUCCAGCUGAAGGCAGCAUGGCCCUCACGGCGGGCCCUCUCAACUGGGCUGUGGAGCAGCCGGAGUACAGAGCCUGGCUCCCCCACCAUCCUGGGAGAAAGAAAUUACAAAGAGGGGAAAAGAAUUUGACCUUCAUGGAGCUCACAAUCCACUGGAGAGAUGGCUCAGACACCAGUGGAGGAGCCAAUAGAACAAACACAGUCCAUCAUGAACUCUUUUUAAAAUGUAUUGUGUGUAGGAAUGACACCCCUCAUAGAAGAAUCCCAGGAUUUUCUCUUCUGUGUGUUUCUGUUUCACUUCCUUGCAGCCAUGAUACUAGCUGAGGUCAUCGGUGCAAUGAGAUGAAAGAAGAUGAUUCUGUCACUUCUCUAGAUCUUUGAGUGAUACGUCAAAUUCAAGGCUAAUCACACUUACUUAACCUGCGUUCUUCCUUGCUGUGCUGGGUCUGCAUUGCUGCGUGUGGGCUUUCUCUAGUUGUGCCCCUGGGCAAUCUGAAGACUGGCGGGCAGCUAGGCAAGGUGGACGCACUCUAUUCAGGACCGGCGGUAUCUCCAACAAAGAGGGAAGAGACCCAGAGAAACCGCGCGGUUGAGUCGGCUGUGGGACGGCAUGUGAUGGGGGUGCCAUGCAGCCCUGGGGCUUCUGCAGGGCUGGUGCAUCUGGCAAAGGCGGGGAAGAGAGAGAUGCUCUUAACUUUCUCCAGGAUCCUAGGGCAUUCCCCCCGCCCCGCCCCCUUCCGCUAGAAAUCGUCAGCUGGCUCCACUGAGUGGAAAGGGCCGAGAGGGCCGUGAAAUGAAACGGGAGCAUAGCGCCACCUGGUGGCCAUUGUCCAGCUAUUGCUCUAAUGCCGGAAGGAUUUCCAGUGGGCCACACUUUGUCAGAAGCAAGGAGAUCAAACCAGUCAAUCCUAAAGAAAAUCAACCCUGAAUAUUCAAUGGAAGGAUUGAUGCGGAAGCUGAAGCUCCAAUACUUUGGCCACCUGAUGAGAAGAAAUGACUCAUUGAAAAAGACCCUGAUGCUGGGCAAGAUUGAGAGCAGGAGGAGAAGGAGGCGACAGAGGAUGAGAUGGUUAGAUGGCAUCGCUGACUGAAUGGACAUGAGUUUGAGCAAACCCUGGGAGACAGUGAAGGACAGGGAAGCGUGGAGUGCUGCGGUCCAUGGGGUCACAAAGAAUCGCACACGACUGAGUUUGGUCUUCCCAGGUGGGUCAGUGGGUAAAGAAUCUGCCUGCAACGCAGGAGGCCAGAUUCAAUCCCCGAGUCAGGAAGAGCCCCCGGAGAAGGAGAUGGCAGCCACUCCAGUAUUCUUGCCUGGAAAGUCCCAUGGACAGAGGAGCCUGGCGGGCUACCUUAUGUAGGAUCGCAAAGAGUUGGCUACGACGAGGCAACUGAGCAUGCGCGCACUCAAGCUUCAUAAUCAUGCUUGAAUGUGUAGGAAGAAGUACGCUUGGGUCUCCUUUGCAGGUGUAGUGUUCUUGGCUUUGCCCAGUGCCCUUAACACUUAACAGGCUUUCUGGGAGACCCUACUUAGUCAGGUAGAGCAGCCUAGUUGCAGAGGAGGAAGUAGCCACCACCAGCCAUUGUCCUCUCUGAUGAGACAAUCUGGUUCUGUCCCAUGGCCUCCCAGCCCAGGCUCUGGCCAGCCCUCUGACACUGGGACUGUCACCUGCUGUUCUCAAAGCUGAGUCUGCAGGGGAAGACCGUGGAGAUCUCCCCAGCAAGGAGGGGGGUGGAAGGAAGAAGGAGGAGGAGGGGCUCUCAAAAAAGCUAAAAGUCAGAAAGAGAGGUCAAGGGUAUGCUGAAACGGGUUGGAAAAUUCAGUCCUCAUUUAUAGGACACUUGCCAAGCCUUUUCACGUUUAUUGUCUUGUUUAAGUAUCCCACGGGCAAGGGAGACAGAUUUCAUUCUUCUCGUUAUGAGGAUGAGGCCCUGGAUGCCCAGAAACUCAAAAGGCUUUGCCCAAGUCCACUUCUGUGCAUUCCCCAUUGCUGCCGUAACGAACUUAAUGGCAUUAAACAACACACAUUUUUACAGUGCUGGAGGUCAGAAAUCGAAAAGUCAAGGUGUCCGCAGGUCCGCGUUCUUUCUUUCUGGAGGCUUCAAGAGAGAGUCUGUUUCUUUGCCUUUUCCAGCUUCUAAAGGCCAGCUGCACUCCUUGGCUUGUGGCCCCCUCCUCCAUCCUCAAUGCCUGCAGCGUAGCAUCUUCCAAUCACACAUUUUUCCUCACUCUAACUCCUGCCUCCCUCUUCUAAAAAUGCUUGCGAUUACGUUGGUCCCACCAUCCGUGUAAUCCAGGACAAUCUCCCCAUGUCAAGAUCCUGAAUCACAUCUGUAGUGAAUCCCCUGGUGGUCCAGUGGCUAUGACUCUGAGCUCCCAGUGCAGGGGGCUCGGGUUCAAUCUCUGGUCAGGGAACUAGAUCCCACCAUGCUGCAACUAAAAGAAAAAAAAAAGAUCCCGCAUGCCGUGAUGAAGUUCGAACAUCCUGAGUGCUGCAACUAAGACCUGGAGAAACCACAUACAUAUAUACAUAAAAAUCACAUCUGCAGGGUUUUCCUGGUGGCUCAGUGGUAAAGAAUCUGCCUGCCAGUGCAGGAGACAGGGAUAUGAGCCCUGAUCCAGGAAGAUCCCACCUGCCCUGGAGCAACAAGGCCCAUGAGCCACAACUGUUGAGACCACAUGCUGCAGCUACUGAAGCCCACCCACCCUAGAACUUGUGCUCAGCAACCAGAGAAGCCAUUGCAAUGAGAAGCCCUCGAACUGCAGCUGGAGAGUAGCUCCCAAUCGCUGAAACUAGAGAAAAGCCCGCAAGGCAACAGAGACCCAGCACAGCCAAAAAUAAAGGAAAUAAAUAAGUAAUCUUAUAUUUUAAAAAACCACACAUGCAAAGUUCUUUUUGCCGUGUGUUGUAACGUAUUUGUCAGUCAUGGGGAUCAGGACAUGGACAUCUUUGGGAGGAUGUUAUUCAGCCUGUUGUGGUUACCAGCUGAGGAGUGACAGACCUUCUGAGCCCCUGUGUUGCUUCUCUGUCCUCCUCAGCAGUUCACUGUGGCUGUAGUCACUGAUAGAUCCUGUUUGUGCCUUGCACACCCCAGGGGCAGCAUUUCAGUGGAUCCUGCAUUUGCCAUUUUUUAGAUAAGGAAUGAACAUGUGGGACUCAGAGUCUGGCUGUCUGAGUUUAAAUCCUAGCUUCAGCUUUUCCAAGUGGUGCAAUUUUCUGGCAAGUUACUUUUCCUUUCUCUGGCUCUGUUUUCUCAUCUGUAAAAUGGGAGUGAUGAUAUAGAUACCUGUCCCCUGGGUACACAGUAUGAGGAUUAAAUGAUCUAAUGAAUCUUGAGUUCUUAGAACAGUGUCUGGUUUAUAAUAACUUUAGUACAUAUUAACUUGCUUUUUUGUCUUUAAAAAUUUUUUUUAAUUUAUUUUAUUUGACUGUGCUCAGUCUUUUCUUGCAUCACACAGGAUCUUUAAUUGUGGCAUGUGGGAUAUAUAUUCUUAUCCCUCAAGGAGAAUCUUUUUGUUUUUGAUGACCUGUGGCCAUUUGAACCUUUUCUCCAUGCAAGCUGAGAUCCACAGUGGUUCACUAGCUCCCAAAGCUGGGUUUACAGGAAUCCACAUAGUUAAGGAAUUAAAUGCUUAGAAUUUGGAGGCAGAGAAGCCCAGGGUAGAAUCCAACUAGCCCACUUACUUGCUGCAGGCCCUAGGGAUAUGACUUCACUGGGUCUCAACUCCCUUAUUUGUAAAGUGGGGAUUGUUGUUGUUAAGUCACUCAGUCUUGUCCGACUCUUUGCGACCCCAUGGACUGUAGCACACCGGCUUCCCUGUCCUUCACCAUCUCCCAGUUUUUGCUCAAACUCAUGUCCGUUGAGUCGGUGAUUCCAUCCAAUCAUCUUAAUCUCUGUCAUCCGUUUCUCCUCCUGACUUCAAUCUUUCCCAGCAUCAGGGUCUUUUCCGAUGAGUCAGCUCUUUGCAUCAGGUGGCCAAAGUAUUGGAGCUUCAGCUUCAGCAUCAGUCCUUCCAAUGAAUAUUCAGGACUUAUUUCCUUUAGGAUUGACUGGUUGGAUCUUCUUGCAGUCCAAGGGACUGUCAAGAGUCUUCUCCAACACCACUGUUCAAGAGCAUCAAUUCUUCAGCCCUCAGCCUUCUUUAUAAUGCAACUGUCACAUCCAUACAUGACUACUGGAAAAACCAUAGCUUUGACUAAAUGGACCUUUGUUGGCAAAGUAAUGUCUCUAAUUUUUAAUAUGCUGUCUAGGUUUGACAUAGCUAUUUUUUCCAAGAAGCAAGUGUCUUUUAAUUUCAUGGCUGCAGUCACCAUCUGCAGUGAUUUUGGAGCCCAAGAAAAUAAAGUCUGUCACUGUUUCCAUUUAUUCCUCAUCUAUUUGCCACGAAGUGCUGGGACUGGGUGCCGUGAUCUUAGUUUUCUGAAUGUUGUUUUAAGUCAGCUUUUCCACUCUCAUUUUUCACUUUCAUCAAGAGGCUCUUAAGUUCCUCUUCGUUUUCUGCCAUCCAGGUGGUGUCAUCUGCAUAUCUGAGGUUGCUGAUAUUUCUCCUGGCAAUCUUGACUCCAGCUUAUGCUUCAUCCAGCCCAGCAUUUUGCACGAUGUACUCUGCAUAUAAGUUAAAUAAGCAGGGUGACAAUAUAUAGCCUUGACGUACUCCUUUCCCUAUUUGGAACCAGUCUGUUGUUCCAUGUCUCGUCCUAACUGUUGCUUUUUUACCUGCAUACAGGUUUCUCAGGAGGCAGGUAAGGUGGUCUGGUAUUCCCAUCUCUUGAAGAAUUUUCUACAGUUGGUGGUGAUCCACACAGUCAAAGGCUUUGGCAUAGUCAAUAAAGCAAAAGUUUUUCUGUAAUUCUCUUGCUUUUUCUAUGAUCCAGUGGAUGUUGGCAAUUUGAUCUCUGGUUCCUCUGCCUUUUCUAAAUCCAGCUUGACCAUCUGGAAGUUCUCUGUUCAUGUACUGUUGAAGCCUAGCUUGGAGAAUUUUGAGCAUUACUUUGCUAACAUGUGAGAUGAGUGCAAUUGUGCAGUAGUUUGAACAUUCUUUGGCAUUGCCUUUUUUUUUUUGGAUUGGAAUGAAAACUGACCUUUUCCAGUCCCGUGCCCACUGCUGAGUUUCCCAGAUUUGCUGGCAUAUUGAGUGCAGCAAUUUCACAGCAUCAUCUUUUAGGAUUUGAAAUAGCUCAACUGGAAUUCCAUCACCUCCACUAGCUUUAUUCGUAGUGAUGCUGCCUAUGGCCCACUUGACUUAGAAUUCCAGGAUGUCUGGCUCUACUUGAGUGAACACACCAUCGAGGUUAUCUGGGUCAUUAAGAUCUUUUUUGUGUAGUUCUUUGUGUAUUCUUGCCACCUCUUCUUGACAUCUUCUGCUAGUACCCAAACCAGAGGGCAGUUUUUAAACAUUAUUUCAUCUCUUUAUUUUUGGCUGUGCCAGGUCUUCGUUGGUGCGCACAGGUUUUCUUUAGUUGCGGCAAGCCGGGCUCCCUAGUUGCAGUGUGCAGGCUUCUCAUUGCAGCGGUUUCUCUUGUUGUGAAACACAGGCUCCAGGGCAUAGGCUCAGUAGUUGCAGAAUGAAGGCUUGGUUGCCCCACUGCAUGUGGGAUCUUAGUUCCCAGACCAGGGAUCAAACCUGUGUCCCUUGCAUUGACAGGGGGAUUCUUAACCACUGGAUGACCAGGGAAGUUCCAGAGGGCAGUUUUGAGGAUUGAAAGAGAUAAGGCACUUCAUCUCUCUCAACAUCCUUCCCAACCCUCACAAACUACAUCCCCCACAAAUCAAGGCCUGUCUCCUGCAGGUGCUCCAGCCACCAAUCUAGUUCCCUUUUGCCAUCACCGUCUUUCUCUCUUACGGUAAAUGAAGUAGGGAUUUUCCAUGUUUAAAGAUUACUUUAACAUCUUUUUUAAUGAAUCAUUUUUCAUACUUUUUUGUCCAUUUUUCUAUCUGGUUUCCACAUUUCCCUGCCAAAUUUAGAGAGUUACUCAUUUAUUACUGAGAAUGCUCCUUUAUCCAUUAUGUGAGUUGUAAAUAUUUUCUCCUAGUUUGUCAGUUGUCUUUCGAUUUCACUUAUGGUAUUUUUCACAUGUAAAAGCUAAUGAAAAUUUUAUGUAGUCAAAUUUACUAAUCUUUUUUUUUAAUUAAAAAAUUAAAACUUUUUGGUAGCACUGUGGCCUGUGGGAUCCUAGUUUUUGGCAUGUGGAAUCCUAUUUCCCCAACCAGGGAUGGAACCUGUGUCCCCCAUUGGAAGCAUGGAGCCUUAACCACUGGACCGCCAGAGAAGCCUCUGUAUUAAUCUCUUAUGGCAUCUGGAUUUUGAAUCAUAGUUAGAGAUCUUUCUUCCACACACAAGUUAUGGAGGAAUUCACCCAUAUACUUGUAUACUUCCCUGGCGGCUCAGCGGUAAAGAAUCCACCUGCAAUGCAGGAGAUGCAGGAGAUGUGGGGUGGAUCUCUGAAUCAGGAAGAUCCCCUGGAUGAGAGCAUGGCAACCCUCUCCAGUAUUCUUGCCUGGAGGAUCCCAUGGACAGAGGAGCUUUGGGGGCUACAGUCCAUAGGGUCUCAAAGAGUCUGACAUGACUGAAGCAACUGAGGAUGCACUCACCUACUGGUAAUUACAGUUUCAUUUUUUACAUUUAGAUACUCAUCAUUUAGGACUUUAUUCUUGUGUAUUGUGUGAGGAGUGGACACUGGGUCAAAAGUAGAAAAGAAGACGAAGUAUUUUGGGGACAACUGGUAAAAUCUGAAUAAAGACCCUGCAUUAGACCAUCAUUAGUAAAUGGUAAAUUUCCUGAAUGUUAUAACAAUAUUGUGGUUAUGAAGGAAAAUAUCUUUUCUCUUAUAUGAUCAUCUGUAGUUUUUAGGAUGGCUCGGUCACUAUAUCUUCAGUUAACUUGCAAAUGGUUGAGCAAAUAUAUGUAUAUAUUUAUAAUAAUAAUAAAUUAUAUUUUUAAUAUAUAUUAGACAAAAUUAAUAAAAUGUGACAAAAUUUUAGCAAUUGAUGGCAGGCAUAUGAGUAUUUACUUCACUAUUCUUGCAACUUUUCUUGAGGUUCAAAAUUUUGAAAAAUAAAAAGUUGGCGGAAUUCCCUGGUAGUCCAGUGGUUAGGGCUCCGUGCUCUCACUGCCAAGGGCCUGGAUUCUAUCCCUGGUUAGGGAACUAAGAUCCCGCAAUCUCAGAAAAAAUUAAAAAAUGCAAACUAGUACAGCCGCUAUGGAGAACAGUGUGGAGAUUUCUUAAAAAACUGGACAUAGAACUGCCAUAUGACCCAGCAAUCCCACUUCUGGGCAUACACACUGAGGAAACCAGAUCUGAAAGAGACACGUGCACCGCAAUGUUCAUCGCAGCACUGUUUAUAAUAGCCAGGACAUGGAAGCAACCUAGAUGCCCAUCAGCAGAUGAAUGGAUAAGGAAGCUGUGGUACAUAUACACC